rnacentral:rRNA from 1 species
CCUACGGGAGGCUGCAGUGGGGAAUAUUGCACAAUGGGGGAAACCCUGAUGCAGCGACGCCGCGUGAGUGAAGAAGUAUUUCGGUAUGUAAAGCUCUAUCAGCAGGGAAGAAAAUGACGGUACCUGACCAAGAAGCCCCGGCUAACUACGUGCCAGCAGCCGCGGUAAUACGUAGGGGGCAAGCGUUAUCCGGAUUUACUGGGUGUAAAGGGAGCGUAGACGGUUGUGCAAGUCAGAAGUGAAAGCCCCGGGCUCAACUCCGGGACUGCUUUUGAAACUGUGAAGCUGGAGUGCAGGAGAGGUAAGCAGAAUUCCUGGUGUAGCGGUGAAAUGCGUAGAGAUCAGGAGGAACACCAGUGGCGAAGGCGGCUUACUGGACUGUAACUGACGUUGAGGCUCGAAAGCGUGGGGAGCAAACAGGAUUAGAUACCCGUGUAGUC